UACGUAGGGUGCGAGCGUUAUCCGGAGUUACUGGGCGUAAAGGGCGUGUAGGUGGUAGUGUAAGUCUGGCGUGAAAUUUUUCGGCUUAACCGGGAAAGGUCGUCGGAUACUGCACAACUAGAGGACGGUAGAGGCGUGUGGAAUUCCGGGUGUAGUGGUGAAAUGCGUAGAGAUCCGGAGGAACACCAGUGGCGAAGGCGACACGCUGGGCCGUACCUGACACUGAGGCGCGAUAGCAUGGGGAGCAAACAGG
rnacentral:rRNA from 1 species